rnacentral:rRNA from 1 species
UACGUAGGGGGCAAGCGUUGUCCGGAUUUAUUGGGCGUAAAGAGCUCGUAGGUGGUUCGGUAAGUCGGAUGUGAAAUCUCCAGGCUCAACCUGGAGGGGUCAUUCGAUACUGCCGUGACUAGAGGUCGGUAGGGGAGUGUGGAAUUCCUGGUGGAGCGGUGAAAUGCGCAGAUAUCAGGAGGAACACCCGUAGCGAAGGCGGCACUCUGGGCUGAUACUGACACUGAGGAGCGAAAGCGUGGGGAGCGAACAGG